rnacentral:misc_RNA from 1 species
CGUCACUUCGUCACAUCCUUGCUGAUUGAAAUAUCCACCAUGAAAACCUUUGCUGUAGCAGUCUGUUUGGUCCUGUUGGUGGCGAUGGCCUCAGCCACAUACAGACAAUACGGCGGAGGCUACGGAGGAUAUGGAAGUGCAUACUAUCCAAGAUACGGAUAUGGAGGAAAUGAUGCAUGGAACAACCAAGACUUCAAUCAGUAUGCCAACAUCAAUCAGCAACAGUCCAACAAGCAAAAGGUCGACCAAGAUUACUAUCGUCGUGGUGGACAUGGAUUCUUCUACCCCGGCGGCAAGGGCCAUUGGUGAUAAUAUGAUUGUCCAUUCACAUUGUCCAUAAUGCAGGACCAUAAUCUUUGCUUAUGUGACUAAUAUGACCUGAAUAAAAACGUAAGUGCUAUAA